UACGGAGGGUGCGAGCGUUGUCCGGAAUCACUGGGCGUAAAGGGCGCGUAGGUGGCGCGGGUAGUCAACGGUGAAAGCCCGGGGCUCAACCCCGGGUCGGCCGUCGAUACUCUCGUGCUUGAGCACUGUAGAGGCAGGUGGAAUUCCGGGUGUAGCGGUGGAAUGCGUAGAGAUCCGGAAGAACACCGGUGGCGAAGGCGGCCUGCUGGGCAGUAGCUGACACUGAGGCGCGACAGCGUGGGGAGCAAACAGG
rnacentral:rRNA from 1 species